GCGCGCUCCUCCUGCAGGCUCGUGGCGGUCGGUCAGCGGGGCGUUCUCCCACGUGUAGCGACUGAGGUUACUGAAGAGGCGGGAAAACGCUGUGAUGGCGGCAGCUGGGGGAGGAGGAAGAUAAGCGCAGCCUCCAAGCUCAUGGCCUCCUUAGGAGCGAACCUAAGGAGGACACCGCAGGGACCGGGACCUGGGGCGGCCUCCUCCGGCUUCCCCAGCCCGGCCCCAGUGCCGGGCCCCAGGGAGGCCGAGGAGGAGGAAGUCGAGGAGGAGGAGGAGCUGGCCGAGAUCCACCUGUGUGUGCUGUGGAAUUCAGGAUACUUGGGCAUUGCCUACUAUGAUACUAGUGACUCCACUAUCCACUUCAUGCCAGAUGCCCCAGACCACGAGAGCCUCAAGCUUCUCCAGAGAGUUCUGGAUGAGAUCAAUCCCCAGUCUGUUGUUACGAGUGCCAAACAGGAUGAGAAUAUGACUCGAUUUCUGGGAAAGCUUGCCUCCCAGGAGCACAGAGAGCCUAAAAGACCUGAAAUCAUAUUUUUGCCAAGUGUGGAUUUUGGUCUGGAGAUAAGCAAACAACGCCUCCUUUCUGGAAACUACUCCUUCAUCCCAGACGCCAUGACUGCCACUGAGAAAAUCCUCUUCCUCUCUUCCAUUAUUCCCUUUGACUGCCUCCUCACACCCCCAGGAGAUUUAAGAUUUACCCCGAUUCCACUGCUGAUCCCCUCCCAGGUUCGAGCACUUGGAGGGCUGCUGAAGUUCCUGGGUCGAAGAAGAAUCGGGGUUGAACUGGAAGACUAUAAUGUCAGCGUCCCCAUCCUGGGCUUUAAGAAAUUUAUGUUGACUCAUCUGGUGAACAUAGAUCAAGACACUUACAGUGUUCUACAGAUUUUUAAGAGUGAGUCUCACCCCUCAGUGUACAAAGUGGCCAGUGGACUGAAGGAGGGGCUCAGCCUCUUUGGAAUCCUCAACAGAUGCCGCUGUAAGUGGGGAGAGAAGCUGCUCAGGCUAUGGUUCACACGUCCGACUCAUGACCUGGGGGAACUCAGUUCUCGUCUGGACGUCAUUCAGUUUUUUCUGCUGCCCCAGAAUCUGGACAUGGCUCAGAUGCUGCAUCGGCUCCUGGGUCACAUCAAGAACGUGCCUCUGAUUCUGAAACGCAUGAAGUUGUCCCACACCAAGGUCAGCGACUGGCAGGUUCUCUACAAGACUGUGUACGGUGCCCUGGGCCUGAGGGAUGCCUGCCGCUCCCUGCCGCAGUCCAUCCAGCUCUUUCGGGACAUUGCCCAAGAGUUCUCUGAUGACCUGCACCAUAUCGCCAGCCUCAUUGGGAAAGUAGUGGACUUUGAGGGCAGCCUUGCUGAAAAUCGCUUCACAGUCCUCCCCAACAUAGAUCCUGAAAUUGAUGAGAAAAAGCGAAGACUGAUGGGACUUCCCAAUUUCCUUACUGAGGUUGCCCGCAAGGAGCUGGAGAAUCUGGACUCCCGUAUUCCUUCAUGCAGUGUCAUCUACAUCCCUCUGAUCGGCUUCCUUCUUUCUAUUCCCCGCCUGCCUUCCAUGGUAGAGGCCAGUGACUUUGAGAUUAAUGGACUGGACUUCAUGUUUCUCUCAGAGGAGAAGCUGCACUAUCGUAGUGCCCGAACCAAGGAGCUGGAUGCAUUGCUGGGGGACCUGCACUGCGAGAUCCGGGACCAGGAGACGCUGCUGAUGUACCAGCUACAGUGCCAGGUGCUGGCACGAGCAGCUGUCUUAACCCGAGUAUUGGACCUUGCCUCCCGCCUGGACGUCCUGCUGGCUCUUGCCAGUGCUGCCCGGGACUAUGGCUACUCAAGGCCGCGUUACUCCCCACAAGUCCUUGGGGUACGAAUCCAGAAUGGCAGACAUCCUCUGAUGGAACUCUGUGCCCGAACCUUUGUGCCCAACUCCACAGAAUGUGGUGGGGACAAAGGGAGGGUCAAAGUCAUCACUGGACCCAACUCAUCAGGGAAGAGCAUAUACCUCAAACAGGUGAGGAGAAGCCCUGCAGCCUGGGCCUCUGGCGUCUCCUGCAUCUACUCCACCCCUACUUACCAGCCAACUCAGGCUCCUGCAGCUCUUCUCCCAUUUUCUGACCCCGCUCUUCAUGAAAGGACCGUCACCCACAUCCCUGUGCUUCCACCUCACAUGUUCUUAUUCUCCACUGGAGAGCCAUGCUCUAAUGGAACUUUCCGUGGCCCAAAUUCCUUCACCUGCCUCUGAGUAGGCUUGAUCACAUUCAUGGCCCUGGUAGGCAGCUUUGUGCCAGCAGAGGAGGCCGAAAUUGGGGCAGUAGACGCCAUCUUCACACGAAUUCAUAGCUGCGAAUCCAUCUCCCUUGGCCUCUCCACCUUCAUGAUCGACCUCAACCAGCAGGUGGCGAAAGCAGUGAACAAUGCCACUGCACAGUCGCUGGUCCUCAUUGAUGAAUUUGGAAAGGGAACCAACACGGUGGAUGGGCUCGCGCUUCUGGCCGCUGUGCUCCGACACUGGCUGGCACGUGGACCCACAUGCCCCCACAUCUUUGUGGCCACCAACUUUCUGAGCCUUGUUCAGCUACAGCUGCUGCCACAAGGGCCCCUGGUGCAGUAUUUGACCAUGGAGACCUGUGAGGAUGGCAACGAUCUUGUCUUCUUCUAUCAGGUUUGCGAAGGUGUUGCGAAGGCCAGCCAUGCCUCCCACACAGCUGCCCAGGCUGGGCUUCCUGACAAGCUUGUGGCUCGUGGCAAGGAGGUCUCAGACUUGAUCCGCAGUGGAAAACCCAUCAAGCCUGUCAAGGAUUUGCUAAAGAAGAACCAAAUGGAAAAUUGCCAGACAUUAGUGGAUAAGUUUAUGAAACUGGAUUUGGAAGAUCCUAACCUGGACUUGAACGUUUUCAUGAGCCAGGAAGUGCUGCCUGCUGCCACCAGCAUCCUCUGAGAGUACUUCCAGUGUCCUCCCCAGCCUCCUGAGACUCCGGUGGGCUGCCAUGCCCUCUUUGUUUCCUUAUCUCCCUCAGACCCAGAGUUUUUAGUUUCUCUAGAAAUUUUGUUUCAUAUUAGGAAUAAAGUUUAUUUUGAAGAAA